GUUUUGGUUUGAUUCCAUUCGGUUCGGUUUGGUUGGGGUAUGUUUGGCGGUCAUUGCACGUCCCGGGUAACAUGCUGCCUACCCGCAAAGGAACCAGUUGGUGGCAGUAACUAAUGCAAUGGCUUUGCUUUUCCUGUUCACUUGCUCUUUACGAAGUAACGUAGUUUGCAUUUAAGGUCGCCCAAUAGCCUAAUGGCAGAGGGUAAAAAGCACAAGAGGGAAAAAAACGUUGUUCGUAGUGAUCUUCGAAUUGGUACCAUUUGUGGGUGGGAUGUAAAAUUCAAACAAGAAUGGAAGGAAUGAUGAGGUGUUAUUGUCAGCCAAAAUUAUAAAACGUGCAAAUCAUAUAUGCUUCUACCUUUCACCGCUUCGCUCGAUUCAAUGUGAAAAAACAUUCACAAACGUUUGAAAACUACCAAAACAUUCAAUACAGCAAGAGAGCGCGAUGUUUUUUCUAAGAAGAAGCGGAAAAUGUUAGCUGAAUAGCAAAACACAAAAUCUAUCAUCAAUACGUAUUAUUAUUCAAUAUUCAACUAAUUGAAGUAAUAGAUAAAUAGAAACAGUCAGAAUCAUAUGAUGUAAAAACCAUGUAUCAUUAAAUAACAUCAAACUGUAACACAGAAUAAUCGUCAUAUAUUGAAAUCAUGAUGUAAUAAAUGUAAUAAACGCUCAUGGAGUCAUUAUGAAAUAGACAAAAUAAUUCCCAACUAUUAAGUUAAAUAUUUCAACCAGCGGAUGUAUUGAAUGAGGACGAUGAAAGCUUUCGCUUUUUAAUAUACGAUUGCACUGUUCCACAUACAUGUUGUUGUU